rnacentral:rRNA from 1 species
UACGAAGGGGGGCUAGCGUUGCUCGGAAUCACUGGGCGUAAAGCGCACGUAGGCGGAUCUUUAAGUCAGGGGUGAAAUCCUGGAGCUCAACUCCAGAACUGCCUUUGAUACUGGGGAUCUCGAGUCCGGAAGAGGUAAGUGGAACUCCGAGUGUAGAGGUGAAAUUCGUAGAUAUUCGGAAGAACACCAGUGGCGAAGGCGGCUUACUGGUCCGGUACUGACGCUGAGGUGCGAAAGCGUGGGGAGCAAACAGG